GAAAGAUCAUUAAUAAGCAUUCAAAAACUAGUAAUGGGAUUCGAAAACGAGGAUCAAAGUAUUUGAUCAUCCGUUGAAGUUGAACGUUGGCUAGUCAAUUUUAUCGAAAUAAAAUUUACAUAAUUCUGAGACUACGUAAGUCCUCCAUAGAAUUCAAAUAAAAUAAUUUAGGAUUCAAAAUAUUUGAAAACAUGUAGACAGAAAUAUUUGUUUGACUCGCUAAGUAGUAAUAAUAUAAGAUAAAAUAUAUAAAGGAAGCAUUUUGCAGUAAGUACAACUUUAUGAAGUUUAAAUACCUCACAGAUUCGUAGGUCAUUUAGCAUGUAUUCAAAGGUCUCAAAAUGUUUGAAAUAGCCAAUGAAAUUAUUUGCUAAGAAGAAUUUUCAUCUCGGGAAGUGAUGAUGGAUGAUAUAUAGCAUAUAAACCAACCUUGUAGGACUGGAGUGGGACGAUAUCACACAGGAAAUCAAGAAGUUCUUCAUUCCUUAUGGCCCUAGCAAUGUCAUAACGCUUCAGAGUUCGACAUUUGACUUGCUCAGCUUGCAUCCACGCACGAAGUGUGAGUUCAAGAAUGAACAUCUCAGUUGCUUUUGCAAACAAAGCGAUAGAAUGUGCGCUAAUCGACGUUUGACUUGCUCAGCUUGCAUCCACGCACGCAGUGUGAGUUCAAGUAUGAACAUCUCAGUUGCUUUUGCAAACAAAACGAUAGAAUGUGCGCUAACCAUCUGAAUUUACACAUGCCCAUUAGAGGUUAAAUUUUUUUUUAGUACCCACUCCCCAGUUAGAGAUGCAGCAGAUCAAGAAAAGUUAUAUAAAAAAAUAAAAAAAAAUAAAAAGCACUCUCUCAAGCUUUUCAAGCUCUAACUAAUAGCAGAUUGAAAAAAUAAAUUAAAUUAAAAUGACCCUUGCCAAUGUGAAUGGAAAAUCACAACCAUGAACAUACC
rnacentral:lncRNA from 1 species